rnacentral:tRNA from 1 species
GGAGAGGUGGCCGAGUGGUCGAAGGCGGCGGUCUUGAAAACCGCUAGGGCGCGAGCCCUCGUGGGUUCGAAUCCCACCCUCUCCGCCA